GCGGAGUUUCUCAGGAACAGCAAGGAGGCUUUGCAUCCACACCCAGGCCCAAGAUAACUCUCAGUCAUGACUGAUGUCCAGUGAAAGUUUGUAAGCAUGUUUUUGUAUGUAGGGAGGAACAAUAACCAAGAAAAGCUUACCUCUACUAUUGGCCUUACGCCUUUGUCAUCCGAGCUUUGGGAAGCUCCAUGAAGGCUCUCAUGAUGAGUAGCAUGCUCACCAAGGGUCUCUCAGCUCUCAGGACCAGUUCUUCAAGGUUUUGCAUUGAGUGCAAAGGACAGAUCCCAAAGUAUUUCACAAUUAUUAUUUCAUCAGCGUGAACAAGAACAACAGCUGACCCACAAUAUCAAGGUACUGAAGAGACAGAAAGACGCUGAGAGCCGGAGGCAGUGAGCAGUUCCAACCCUUCCAGUAUCCAGCCAGGUGGGUUUGCAGUGUGCUUGCUUACAGAUCCAAGAGCUGCAACGCAACCUCAGCCCAGCGCUUCCUGCACACUUAUUUCCUGCUCAUCACAUGCUCUGCUGCAAUGGCUGAGGAAGGCUCUGACACUGGUCUCCCAAUGGCCUCCGCAACUUUGGAUCCAACCUGCAGGACAUUAAACACUUCAAGGCCCUAAACACAGUUGGCUACAUCCGGAUGUUCUGUCAGAUUCCUGUUAUUUCCUCAGCUCAUCUCUACUGUGAAAAGUAUCAGUGCUGUUUGGAUCAGAACCACUAGACAUAAGCUUCUCCCUUGUUGAAAGAACAGAGAUGACCACACAACACACAGCUGAGACUAUCACAGAUCACUGUUCUGGUUUCAUUAAAUUCACAUGACAGAUUUCGUUUAAAAUAGCCGAUGUCCAGCUUUUACUCUUAUUUCUAAAUAAUCUAACUUCUACUCUAUACCACUCAAAGGAAAAAAAACGUUUGUCACAGCAGGCAUCACCACCAACUCACUGAUUAACAAGAA
ensembl:lncRNA